CUAGAGAGUCCACAGAAUAUUACUGCAGUGGUUUGGUUCCGAUCGGGCAAAAAAUCUAGGACUAGUUCGCAAAAGUAGGUUUUUAACAUAUUUGUGAAUAACAAUUGAACGAUUUGAUUGACAGCAAUGGUUCUUGAGGCAAAGUUGUGCAUUACGAGGAGAUCUAUCAAAUGAUAUGCAUAUUGUGUUGAUAUGUGAAACACCACGUGAUUACAGAGCCAUAAAACUCGUUAGCGCCAACUAGUGGCCGAUUUCUUUCAAAAUUCUUACAGACCUUAAGGUUCAUGAGUCGAACGUACCCAGCGAGUUUCGUUCCGAUCAACAUCCGUUAACCCUUUCAAAUAGGUGCUUAAAUUUGUUUGGCCAAUGGCGGCCAUGUUUUUUGAGAUAUGCAAAUGUCCUCAUAGGUACUUGUGCCCCUUCAGACCAAGACACUGCAUACCAAUUUUCAAGUCGAUCGAGCCAAC